ACAAGUACGACCACUUGGUCAGUCAAAUCGGUUCUUUGACAGAGAUGUGAGCAAUGCCAAACGACUACUAAAAAGGUGAAGAAAUACAAGAGAGAGAACGUGGUCUACACACCUAUAUCUAUACGGAAGUGGCACAAUGAGAGUUACGAGCAGACUCGCUGUCCUGGCCUAGACUUCCGGUGGGACAAAGUCGGUCCUGCGACUGAUUUCUCGAUGAAUAGACAAGUUAAAACGAGAGGUGAACGAGAUCAAGACAAGCUUCAUUAUACAGAUCUCCAAGUUACCAAGUCAAGGCAAAAGGUACAAGAAUGCCCAUAACAGCCAAUUUAGAUCGAGGUAAGAAAGAUAUGUGUGCAUAUUCUAGCUUGUUUGCAUUAGUUAAACUAGAGUAUUAAAAGCUCUAUGUAAACAACACUCUUAAUUAACUCAGGCCCACCUACUGCUAGGGUUAGAGUCAGGGUUAGGUUUAUGGACAGUUCGACAAAGAUGACAAUAAAAUUAAUUGCUGG